CGCUGAAACACCGGUUCCCGAACGAUCACCAAAGUUAAGCAACGUCGAGCAUGGUCAGUACUUGGAUGGGUGACCUCUUGGGAAUACAGAGUUCUG